GGGUGAAUGGACCUCUCCAGCUCCCAAAUUUACUGCUACUCGACCUGAGGUCGCCCACGGGUCUGGAGGCACAAAGGUCCGCGUGCCUGUUCAGCGGGGCCCUCCUAAGUCCCCACUGCGCAGGCGCGGAAUGGGGAGGAAGACCAUUGAGUGGCCUUAGGCCGUCAAAUGAAAAAAGGUUGACAGAAACGAAACAGUUUCUUAAAAAAGGGGGGGAGGAGGGUGUAGUGGGGAAGGAAGAAAGCAAGAAAAGAAAGAAAUGGCAACCGUUCCUGAAGUAUAUGGAGUACAAAAGGGGUGGCAGGAGACGGAGAGCAGGGAGGAUGGACUAAGUUCAGGAGGUUGGACUGCUGAUGUCAGAAGGUUACACCUCUUCCCCAGGUGGCCCACAACCGCUGACUUACUGAGGCAGGAAUAUAAAGGCCUGGUCAUCUCAGUCCCACUCAAGACACCCCUGAAGGGCACAUGUGCUCCAGAGCUCCCAUGGGGUUGGACCUGCACCACAGCUCAACGUCUCUCUCUCUGCCCACUCCUGCUUCUUUCCCUCCCUCCCACAGGUGUUGAU